GUCAUCGUAGGGUUAGUCGGGUCCUAAGUCGAGUCCGAAAGGGGUAGACGAUGGCAAAUUGGUUAAUAUUCCAAUACCAACAUUAGUGUGCGAUGGAAGGACGCUUAGGGCUAAGGGGGCUAGCGGAUGGAAGUGCUAGUCUAAGGUCGUAGGAGGUUAUACAGGCAAAUCCGUAUAACAAUACUCCGAGAACUGAAAGGCUUUUUGAAGUCUUCGGAUGGAUAGAAGAACCCCUGAUGCCGUCGAGCCAAGAAAAGUUUCUAAGUUUAGCUAAUGUUGCCCGUACCGUAAACCGACACAGGUGGGUGGGAUGAGUAUUCUAAGGCGCGUGGAAGAACUCUCUUUAAGGAACUCUGCAAAAUAGCACCGUAUCUUCGGUAUAAGGUGUGGUUAGCUUCGUACUAGGAUUUACUCCGAAAGCGAAGAAACUUACAACAAAGAGUCCCUCCCGACUGUUUACCAAAAACACAGCACUCUGCUAACUCGUAAGAGGAUGUAUAGGGUGUGACGCCUGCCCGGUGCUCGAAGGUUAAUUGAUGGGGUUAGCAUUAGCGAAGCUCUUGAUCGAAGCCCGAGUAAACGGCGGCCGUAACUAUAACGGUCCUAAGGUAGCGAAAUUCCUUGUCGGUUAAAUACCGACCUGCAUGAAUGGCGUAACGAGAUGGGAGCUGUCUCAAAGAGGGAUCCAGUGAAAUUGUAGUGGAGGUGAAAAUUCCUCCUACCCGCGGCAAGACGGAAAGACCCCGUGGACCUUUACUACAGCUUGACACUGCUAUUUGGAUAAGAAUGUGCAGGAUAGGUGGGAGGCUUUGAGUAUAUGACGCCAGUUGUAUAGGAGCCAUUGUUGAGAUACCACUCUUUCUUAUUUGGGUAGCUAACCAGCUUGAGUUAUCCUCAAGUGGGACAAUGUCUGGUGGGUAGUUUGACUGGGGCGGUCGCCUCCCAAAUAAUAACGGAGGCUUACAAAGGUUGGCUCAGAACGGUUGGAAAUCGUUCAUAGAGUAUAAAGGUAUAAGCCAGCUUAACUGCAAGACAUACAAGUCAAGCAGAGACGAAAGUCGGUCUUAGUGAUCCGGUGGUUCUGUGUGGAAGGGCCAUCGCUCAAAGGAUAAAAGGUA
rnacentral:rRNA from 1 species